rnacentral:telomerase_RNA from 1 species
CGGAAGGCUCCUGUAGGUGCUUGACAACGCGUGGGUGUAAGUUAUCUUGCACCCAGAACCCUAAACCCCAGGUCCUCGAGGCCCACACUAAGAUGUGUUGAACGCCAAUUGGUUACCGGGGGUUUCUUCCACGUCUUCCCCCUGUCAGAAAAAAGCUGUGAUGCCUUGUCUCGUACCUGCACGGUUUGUUGAAUUCAUAGCGCAAGCGGGGAGGAGCUCGUGGUUCGCCGCCUGCUUCUCGAGUCCCUUGCGCACAUCCCUUCCGUUUUG